UUUAUCAUUUAAAAUAAAAUGAGAAAACUGUGGACAAUACAGAGAAGAUUAGCAUGGUUCAUUCACAAGGGAAACAGGCAAAUUUAUUAAGCUUUCAUAUUUUAU
ensembl:snRNA U6 U6 spliceosomal RNA